rnacentral:rRNA from 1 species
GACGAACGCUGGCGGCGUGCCUAAUACAUGCAAGUCGAGCGAACAGAUGAGAAGCUUGCUUCUCUGAUGUUAGCGGCGGACGGGUGAGUAACACGUGGGUAACCUACCUAUAAGACUGGGAUAACUCCGGGAAACCGGGGCUAAUACCGGAUAAUAUUUUGAACCGCAUAGUUCAAUAGUGAAAGACGGUUUCGGCUGCCACUUAUAGAUGGACCCGCGCCGUAUUAGCUAGUUGGUAAGGUAACGGCUUACCAAGGCGACGAUACGCAGCCGACCUGAGAGGGUGAUCGGCCACACUGGAACUGAGACACGGUCCAGACUCCUACGGGAGGCAGCAGUAGGGAAUCUUCCGCAAUGGGCGAAAGCCUGACGGAGCAACGCCGCGUGAGUGAUGAAGGUCUUCGGAUCGUAAAACUCUGUUGUUAGGGAAGAACAAAUUUGUUAGUAACUGAACAAGUCUUGACGGUACCUAACCAGAAAGCCACGGCUAACUACGUGCCAGCAGCCGCAGUAA